rnacentral:rRNA from 1 species
UGAACGCUGGCGGCAGGCCUAACACAUGCAAGUCGAGCGGAUGACAGGAGCUUGCUCCUGAAUUCAGCGGCGGACGGGUGAGUAAUGCCUAGGAAUCUGCCUGGUAGUGGGGGACAACGUUUCGAAAGGAACGCUAAUACCGCAUACGUCCUACGGGAGAAAGCAGGGGACCUUCGGGCCUUGCGCUAUCAGAUGAGCCUAGGUCGGAUUAGCUAGUUGGUGAGGUAAUGGCUCACCAAGGCGACGAUCCGUAACUGGUCUGAGAGGAUGAUCAGUCACACUGGAACUGAGACACGGUCCAGACUCCUACGGGAGGCAGCAGUGGGGAAUAUUGGACAAUGGGCGAAAGCCUGAUCCAGCCAUGCCGCGUGUGUGAAGAAGGUCUUCGGAUUGUAAAGCACUUUAAGUUGGGAGGAAGGGCAUUAACCUAAUACGUUAGUGUUUUGACGUUACCGACAGAAUAAGCACCGGCUAACUCUGUGCCAG